AGAGUUUGAUCCUGGCUCAGGAUGAACGCUGGCGGCGUGCCUAAUACAUGCAAGUCGAACGCUUUGUGGUCCAACUGAUUUGAAGAGCUUGCUCAGAUAUGACGAUGGACAUUGCAAAGAGUGGCGAACGGGUGAGUAACACGUGGGAAACCUACCUCUUAGCAGGGGAUAACACUUGGAAACAAGUGCUAAUACCGUAUAACACUAAUAACCGCAUGGUUAUUAGUUAAAAGAUGGUCUUGCUAUCACUAAGAGAUGGUCCCGCGGUGUAUUAGCUAGUUGGUAAGGUAAUGGCUUACCAAGGCAAUGAUACAUAGCCGAGUUGAGAGACUGAUCGGCCACAAUGGGACUGAGACACGGCCCAUACUCCUACGGGAGGCAGCAGUAGGGAAUCUUCCACAAUGGACGAAAGUCUGAUGGAGCAACGCCGCGUGUGUGAUGAAGGGUUUCGGUUCGUAAAACACUGUUGUAAGAGAAGAAUGACAUUGAGAGUAACUGUUCAGUGUGUGACGGUAUCUUACCAGAAAGGAACGGCUAAAUACGUGCCAGCAGCCGCGGUAAUACGUAUGUUCCAAGCGUUAUCCGGAUUUAUUGGGCGUAAAGCGAGCGCAGACGGUUAUUUAAGUCCGAAGUGAAAGCCCACAGCUUAACUGUGGAAGUGCUUUGGAAACUGGAUAACUUGAGUGCAGUAGAGGAGAGUGGAACUCCAUGUGUAGCGGUGAAAUGCGUAGAUAUAUGGAAGAACAUAGUGGCGACGCGGCUCUCUGGACUGUAACUGACGUUGAGGCUCGAAAGUGUGGGUAGCAAACAGGAU
rnacentral:rRNA from 1 species